rnacentral:rRNA from 1 species
GACAUAGGUCGCAAACGUUAUCCGGAAUUAUUGGGCGUAAAGGAUGUGUAGGCGGCCAUAUAAGUCGGAUGUGAAAGCCCUGGGCUCAACCCGGGAAGUGCACUCGAUACUGUGUGGCUCGAGUACUGGAGAGGUUGGUGGAAUUCUCGGUGUAGAGGUGAAAUUCGUAGAUAUCGAGAGGAACACCGGUGGCGAAGGCGGCCAACUGGACAGAUACUGACGCUGAGACACGAAAGCGUGGGGAGCAAACAGG